rnacentral:rRNA from 1 species
AUUGACCGCUGGCGGCAGGCCUAACACAUGCAAGUAGAACGCGUGUCGCACGGUUGAGGAAUGUCUGGGACACUGCCCGAUGGAGGGGGAUAACUCCUGGAAACGGUAGCUAAUACCGCAUACCAUAUCAUGUGCCCCUAUGUGAUUAGCUUGUAGGUGAGGUACCGGCUCACCUAGGGGACGAUCCCUCUCUGGUCUGAGAGGAUGACCAGACGAACUGGGAGGUGGACACGGUCCAGACUCCUACGGGAGGCAGCAGUGGGGAAUAGUGCACAAUGGGCGCAAGCCUGAUGCAGACACGGCGCGUGUAUGAAUAAGGCCGUCGGGUUGUAAAGUACUUUCAGCGGGGAGGCGUUACCCGCAGAAGAAGCACCGGCUAACUCCGUGCCAGCAGCCGCGGUAAUUC